CAGUGCUCGUCGGGACGUCACGCCCCUCCCGGGGCGUGGGCGUCUUGCACCCGCCCAACCGUGUCUACCGUUUUCCCUCGUUGCCUCGGCGGGACUGCCGGGCAGGAGGCCGUCUCACUGUGGGCGAGGCUCCUGCGCGCGGCCCCUCGCGUCACCCGACGCGGUGCCACGCUACCCCGGUCAGCGCCCGCCAGAGGGACCUUUCUGAACCCUGUGAAUGUAGUGUUGUCUGAGCUGCCUAGUGAAAUUACAGUUA
rnacentral:misc_RNA from 1 species